rnacentral:rRNA from 1 species
AUGAGUGUGGAAAGCGACGACACAGUGUCGACUCAAGUGAUGGGGAAAGUGGACCCACAAGCCGCUGGUUGGACAAAUAGACACCUUGUCCCAGUAGGGUCGGCACACUCCGCUCCACUAAAAUUACAGGAUCGGAUGCCGUGUCCGGGGAGAAUUGGUGCACUGGAGCAAACGAUUCAGGGGUGUGCAGAUAAGUUGGGAAGAUGUCUACGGAUGCUCUGGGAAGCCAAUGUAGUGGCUGAACAAGACUGGGAUCAUGUUUACGAUACAUUUUCCAUCGAUACAGAGGGCAGUGCUUACAAAAAGAGGAGGCAAGCUGAAGAGGAAGGUUGGAAGAAGGAGAGCAACCGUGCGUAG